GGAAGGGUGGCUGAGCGGUUGAAAGCACCGGUCUUGAAAACCGGCGAGGUAGUAAUACCUCCGUGGGUUCAAAUCCCACCCCUUCCGCCA
rnacentral:tRNA from 1 species